rnacentral:rRNA from 1 species
GAUGAACGCUGGCGGCGUGCCUAAUACAUGCCAGUCGAGCGAACGGACGAGAAGCUUGCUUCCCUGAUGUUAGCGGCGGACGGGUGAGUAACACGUGGAUAACCUACCUAUAAGACUGGGAUAACUUCGGGAAACCGGAGCUAAUACCGGAUGAUAUUUUGAACCGCAUGGUUCAAAAGUGAAAGACGGUCUUGCUGUCACUUAUAGAUGGAUCCGCGCUGCAUUAGCUAGUUGGUAAGGUAACGGCUUACCAAGGCAACGAUGCAUAGCCGACCUGAGAGGGUGAUCGGCCACACUGGAACUGAGACACGGUCCAGACUCCUACGGGAGGCAGCAGUAGGGAAUCUUCCGCAAUGGGCGAAAGCCUGACGGAGCAACGCCGCGUGAGUGAUGAAGGUCUUCGGAUCGUAAAACUCUGUUAUUAGGGAAGAACAUAUGUGUAAGUAACUGUGCACAUCUUGACGGUACCUAAUCAGAAAGCCACGGCUAACUACGUG